rnacentral:rRNA from 1 species
UACGUAGGAUGCAAGCGUUGUCCGGAAUUAUUGGGCGUAAAGAGCGCGCAGGCGGUCAUUCAAGUCAGAUGUGAAAUAUCCGGGCUUAACCUGGAGGGGUCAUUUGAAACUGGGUGACUAGAGUACAGCAGAGGAUAGCGGAAUUCCCGGUGUGAGUGGUGAAAUGCGUAGAUAUCGGGAGGAACACCAGUGGCGAAGGCGGCUAUCUGGGCUGAAACUGACGCUGAGGCGCGAAGGCUAGGGGAGCGAACGGG